rnacentral:rRNA from 1 species
GAUGAACGCUAGCGGCAGGCCUAACACAUGCAAGUCGAGGGGCAGCACAGAAACAGCAAUGUUUUGGUGGCGACCGGCGGACGGGUGCGUAACGCGUAUGCAACCUCCCUUUAACAGGGGGAUAACGGAGAGAAAUUUCCACAAAUACCCCAUAACAUCGAUCAAGGCAUCUUGAUUGGUUGAAAACUCCGGUGGUAAAAGAUGGGGAUGCGUUGUAUUAGGUAGUUGGUGAGGUAAUGGCUCACCAAGGCUACGAUACAUAGGGGGACUGAGGAGUUAGAGCCCCACACUGGUGCUGAGACACGGACCAGACUCCUACGGGAGGCAGCAGUGAGGAAUAUUGGUCAAUGGGGCAACCCUGAACCAGCCAUGCCGCGUGCAGGAAGACGGCUCUAUGAGUUGUAAACUGCUUUUAAACAGGGAUAAAGCACAGUAUGUAUACGGUGUUGAAGGUACUGUAAGAAUAAGGAUCGGCUAACUCCGUGCCAGCAGCCGCCGUAA